UACAGAGACUGCAAGCGUUAUUCGGAUUCACUGGGCGUAAAGGGUGCGCAGGCGGCCAAGUGUGUUAGGCGUGAAAGCCUGGGGCUUAACCCCAGAAUUGCACCUAAAACUACAUGGCUAGAGCAUUGGAGAGGGUAGCGGAAUUCACGGUGUAGCAGUGAAAUGCGUAGAUAUCGUGAGGAACACCAGAGGCGAAGGCGGCUACCUGGACAAUUGCUGACGCUCAGGCACGAAAGCGUGGGGAUCAAACAGG
rnacentral:rRNA from 1 species